UUUGUCUUUAGUGAGAUGACAAGAAAGUUAAUCCAUUAGUUAUUAAGUGUACCCAAAGUCGGUUGUUUUUUUUUAAGCUUCAUUUCCACGAUUUAUUCUUUGUUUCUUCUUCUUCUACAGUCGAGCGUAUAUGAGAGAAAAGGGCAAGAGUGCAUCGUUUUUUUCAUCAUCUUUCUACUUAGGUUUCUUCAUAGAAAGUAAAGGCUAUGACCUUGUAAACAUAUUCCGUGGUGUAGUUCUUUGAGAGAAACUCUCUAAAGUGAGAAAAUCCUCUCAUUUUCUUGUGAAAUACAUGCUGUCAAGAAGGGGUUUAUGUGAUCUUCUUCACUUUUAAGCUUGGGAUUGUUGAAUAGUUGAAGUGGAAGCUAGACAAGUGAAAAGCAAGAGGAGUGAAUCCCAGAAAUUCGAACCCUAUGAGACGGACUACACGUGGAUAGCUAAGUUCAUAGUCUUCGUGUAAAACAAGUUAUAGAAACGGAAAACAUUCAGGUAACGCAGCAGUUGACGACCGUUCUCGAGGCAAGAGGCCCGUGGCUGAUGAGUAGAUCUCUGAGCAUAAAUGUUGCCUUCUUAUUUUGGGAGUCUGUUGUAUAUAUAUGUUCCACUGUGAUCUGGCUAUUUGAUAUUUUGCCGAUGCAUGGUUAUUAGCUAGGCUUUUGACAGGCUAUACUAGCUUGUGUACAGAUUUAUAUAUUUGUGACACUGUGAUGUAUUAUGUUUAUGUAGGUUGAUGUAGGAUGUUGUAGUUAUGGCACAAAGCCACCUUUUUGAUGUGAUAUAUAUAGAGUUAUGGAUCAGGUCG